rnacentral:sRNA from 1 species
GUUGUCAUUUCUAGCCUCUUCUAAU